GAAAUGCGAUAAGUAAUAUGAAUUGCAGAAUUCAGUGAAUCAUCGAAUCUUUGAACGCACCUUGCGCUCCUUGGUAUUCCUUGGAGCAUGCCUGUUUGAGUAUCAUGAAAUCUUCAAAGUAAAUCUUUUGUUAACUCAAUUGGUUUCUACUUUGGUAUUGGAGGUCUUUGCAGCUUCACACCUGCUCCUCUUUGUUCAUUAGCUGGAUCUCAGUGUUAUGCUUGGUUCCACUCGGCGUGAUAAGUUAUCUAUCGCUGAGGACACUGUAAAAGGUGGCCAAGGUAAAUGCAGAUGAACCGCUUCUAAUAGUCCAUUGACUUGGACAAUACUUUUAUGAUCUGAUCUCAAAUCAGAUAGGACUACCCGCUGAACUUAAGC
rnacentral:misc_RNA from 1 species